rnacentral:siRNA from 1 species
CCCAUGACUCAAUCACCACCUGGG